rnacentral:tRNA from 1 species
UUAGAGGUGGCAGAAAUUAAUGCCCAGGCUUUAAGCGCCUGUUAUGGGUUUUCCCCCUUUAAG